ensembl:lncRNA
AUGACACAAGGCCCUGGUUCCCAUGAGAGGUUUCACAGCAGGCCUCGCCCGGGACACAGGAGGACACAGGAGCAAAACUCUUGCUUUGUGCAGGCAGCUCCCAGGGGCUUAAAAGCUUUCUCAGCAUUUCCUGCAUCUUCCGUGGCCAGAUGGGAACCCAGCGCAUCCUGGGACUCACCCGAACACAGCCAACCUGUCGUCAGGACAUUUUACAAACAAAUCCAUCCAAGGAUAGAAUGGGAUGUCUCCCAACACAGAGAAGGUGAGUCUCAUGUUUGCCAGCAAAGACGGUGCCACCGCUUACUUGGCAUGCCAUGAAAUGGACUCCCACCCUGGGUGAUCAGUUACACCUGCCAACCAACUUCAAGGGUCUCUUCCAACUUGAGAUCCUUUAUUUCCUGUGGUUUCAGGUCGGGGGAUUAUAGAAAGAAUGGUGAUAAGGCAUAGAUUCUGACCCCACAAGAAAGGACAAAGCUUUGAUAAACACAAUUGAUUUGGUGUCUGGGCCAUCCUAACAGAUCCAACAUGUGCCAGCUAAUCCACUCCCUGGGGCUGAAGCUGGUCAUGCAGACACCUGGAAAAGCUUGACCACCAAUGGCAGUGACAGCGGGCAGUAAUGGCUUCCGUUUGGCCAGUGUUCCUGUCCCUCACGGCUCCACCCCCAUCCUUCCGAGCACCUUCCGCAUUAUCUGAAAGGUGCACUUGGUACAAAAUGUGUGUGAAAGGCGCUCGCAUAAAAGUGAUUUUAUGGCUCUGGCUUGGGUUUGGAAGCUAAGCAAACAGAAAGAUCUCAGGAAUAAAAGGGGCAAUAAAAUCA